CACGUUUAUUGUACUUCAUCAGGUGCUCUGGUGUAGGUGGGAACCCGGCAUCUGUUGGAGUACAAUUGACAGG
rnacentral:pre_miRNA from 1 species